rnacentral:lncRNA from 1 species
CUCUAACUUAAGUAAAAGUGAAUAGAAAUCAAUGAAAUUUUAACACAAGGUUUAUGACCACAAAAGGAAGGUUGGGAUUGAUUUUGGGAGUUUUGGUCCAAACAUUUUAGGAAUUAGGGGCCAAAAAGGGCCCAAAUAAGCAUUUUCUUGGUUUUCGCACUAUAACUUUAGUUUAAGUGAAUAGAAAUCUAUGAAAUUUUGACACAAGGUUAAUGACCACAAAAGG